rnacentral:rRNA from 1 species
AUACGGAGGAUGCGAGCGUUAUCCGGAUUUAUUGGGUUUAAAGGGAGCGUAGGCGGGAGCUUAAGUCAGCGGUUAAAUGGUGCGGCUCAACCGUGCCCUGCCGUUGAAACUGGGUUUCUUGAGAGUGCAAGAGGCGGAUGGAAUUCAUGGUGUAGCGGUGAAAUGCUUAGAUAUCAUGAAGAACUCCGAUUGCGAAGGCAGUCCGCUGGGGCACGUCUGACGCUGAUGCUCGAAGGUGCGGGAAUCAAACAGGAUUAGAUACCCUGGUAGUCCGCACGGUAAACGAUGAUUACCCGCUGUCGGCGGCAGACAGUCGGCGGCCAAGCGAAAGCGAUAAGUAAUCCACCUGGGGAGUACGCCGGCAACGGUGAAACUCAAAUGAAUUG